GACGAACGCUGGCGGCGUGCUUAACACAUGCAAGUCGAGCGGUAAGGCCUUUCGGGGUACACGAGCGGCGAACGGGUGAGUAACACGUGGGCGAUCUGCCCUGCACUUCGGGAUAAGCCUGGGAAACUGGGUCUAAUACCGGAUAUGACCUCCUAUCGCAUGGUGGGUGGUGGAAAGAUUUAUCGGUGCAGGAUGGGCCCGCGGCCUAUCAGCUUGUUGGUGGGGUAAUGGCCUACCAAGGCGACGACGGGUAGCCGACCUGAGAGGGUGACCGGCCACACUGGGACUGAGACACGGCCCAGACUCCUACGGGAGGCAGCAGUGGGGAAUAUUGCACAAUGGGCGAAAGCCUGAUGCAGCGACGCCGCGUGAGGGAUGACGGCCUUCGGGUUGUAAACCUCUUUCAGCAGGGACGAAGCGCAAGUGACGGUACCUGCAGAAGAAGCACCGGCUAACUACGUG
rnacentral:rRNA from 1 species